GACGAACGCUGGCGGCGUGCUUAACACAUGCAAGUCGAACGGAAAGGCCCUGCUUUUGUGGGGUGCUCGAGUGGCGAACGGGUGAGUAACACGUGAGUAACCUGCCCUUGACUUUGGGAUAACUUCAGGAAACUGGGGCUAAUACCGGAUAGGAGCUCCUGCUGCAUGUUGGGGGUUGGAAAGUUUCGGCGGUUGGGGAUGGACUCGCGGCUUAUCAGCUUGUUGGUGGGGUAGUGGCUUACCAAGGCUUUGACGGGUAGCCGGCCUGAGAGGGUGACCGGCCACAUUGGGACUGAGAUACGGCCCAGACUCCAACGGGAGGCAGCAGUGGGGAAUAUUGCACAAUGGGCGGAAGCCUGAUGCAGCAACGCCGCGUGCGGGAUGACGGCCUUCGGGUUGUAAACCGCUUUCGCCUGUGACGAAGCGUGAGUGACGGUAAUGGGUAAAGAAGCACCGGCUAACUACGUG
rnacentral:rRNA from 1 species